rnacentral:rRNA from 1 species
CGAGAAAUCUCGAGCUUGCUGAAGGAGUAAAGUGGCGCACGGGUGAGUAACGCGUGGGUAACCUGUCCUUAAAUUUGGGAUAAUCCACCGAAAGGUCCCUAAUACCAGAUACAACCCUGAGAACCUUGGUUCUCCGGAUGAAAGCUGACCUCUUCGUGAAAGUUGGCGUUUAAGGAGGGGCUCGCGUACCAUUAGCUUGUUGGUAGGGUAAAGGCCUACCAAGGCUACGAUGGUUAGCUGGUCUGAGAAGACGGCCAGCCACACUGGAACUGAAACACGGUCCAGACUC